UCCCUGCAGCUCCGCGGAUGCCGAGUACGCUGCUAGAGCCUAAAGAAAAACUUGGGAAUAGGGAAAAGGAUGGAAAUUGACACAUAGUUAACUUUAAAGGCCGAAUGCGUUUAUAUCGAGGAGUAAACACAAAACCAUCUACUAAAGUCAGACAUGCCUUCUAUUUCAGGGCUAAUGGAAUGAGUCAUCGACAGAGUGGAUUAUUUAAAGCACCAUAGAUCCGGGUUUGGCUGAGGUUUAACCACUGGUGCAGAAGGUUGCAGGUACAUUGGCAGAUCUCAAGAGCAAGAGAUUUACUGCAUGAUGCCGGCCACACCUUGAGCUGCUGCUCAGGGCAACAAAGGCAACAAGAUCUGGGAUUGGAGCUGAUGGAAAAGACUGUAAAACUUUCUAUUUUCCAUUUAAAUUUAUUUUUCACAGAUGUCUAUAAUACCAGAUUGUUUUCUUCAGCAUUUAAGGUAAAUGUUCUGAGAUUUGUCUUGUGGUUCUGGGAACACAUCUAUAUUCUGAGAGAGACAAGCACUGAGGUUGGUGAUGUUAUGGAGGAGCUUUUGCUUGGUUUUAAGUCAGAUUCUUCCACCUUCUAUCCCUACACUGUUGAAUUUAACAGAGCAGGUAAAGACAAAAAAGGGUACCAGGCUUAGAUGUGUAUACAUCUAGACUUUC